UGGAGAUAAAACUUCAAUGUUGCAAAUCAAACUGAGUCACUGGUAGAGUUGUGCAUCUGUUAGCCAGAGAUCUUCUGCUUCGCUCUGCUCUGGCUCACUUCUAGUUUCUGAAACAGAGCUUUUGUUCUUACAGAUAUCGACUCACAACAUAUUUGUUUAAACUUGACACAACACUCUUUAACGCCUUUUUAAUAUAUUCACCUAUUUCUGCAUAUUUAUUUAAAAAAUGAUGCAUUUUGUAAUUAGAUCUGAUGUAGUGCACUGUUGUCCUCCAGCAGCAUCACCUUAAAGAGCAAGUAACGUCUAAAUUAACUUUUUUUUGCUGAUGAACUGUAUAAAUGAGUGUCUAAUAGUGUUUUAAAUGUGUGCAUUCUUUAUUUUAGCAUUUUGGCGCAUUUUCUGUAAAAAUUAAAAAUUCUGUCUAAAAACCACAGUAAUGCGCCACCUUCAGCUGAAAACAUAGAAUUUGAGUCAUUUUGAAUAAAUUUUAGCCAAUGGCUAAAGAGUAAAAUACUACGUAAACCAGUAGAGUACUACGUAGCAGCUCCGUGCCAAAGUUAUAAAAGCAUCGAGCGUCUCGGCCACGCCCUGUGGCGAGUGGGAGUUGGAUUUGCAAGCGAGCAUAGGAGGUCAGCGGUAGUUCAGCAUUAGCAUAUAGCAUUAGCAUAUCCUAGUCUUUAGCAUAUCUUUUAGUGUUAUAAAUACUUAUUUAGCAUUAGCUUGGCUGUUGGAUAUUGUAGUUUAGUUAGUGUUUGGCUGUUAGUGUAAUUGGGAAAGUAGUUGGGUUUAGUGCUCCAUAUCGUCUUAGUAUUGGUGAGUAGGUGUAGUGUAGUAUGGUUGCGGUGACUCUGUGGGCAUUUUACCCGCGAUUCUGCACGCCUCCGUUUGAAGAGGGAGGCUGUGCCCACCGUGGCUCUUCCGCGAUUUAGAUGCAGCCCACCGACUCUGCUCCCCCACCACGGCGGGCUCCAGUCUGAGGUGAGUCAGCUAAAUAAACGUUUUAACAUCUUCUAAAGACAAUUUCCUACCUAAAUGCAAAGUCUGAGAGACGUGGUUCACUUCCUUUAGCUAGUCAGUCGGCAAUUCUGCAACAGUGGCUCUAACUGACGCAGCACUAGUUGACAGACAGCAUUACAGCGUGAAAUCCAGCUUGUGACCCGGUUCUGUAAGGAAUUAUGUUCAGGAGGUCACAUUUCAGGCUCUCCACAUCAUGUGUCACUGACUUUUACGUUAUAACAACGAUCACACACUAGGAAUGUUAUAAAGUGCCUAUAUAGGACAGUUUCUUUUGUAUAUUAUCUGACUUUAUAAACUCCCAACAACAAUGUGCUUAUAUAUUUUUUUCAGGCUAAAUCUACCCAAGACAUUGGCUGUCAGACUGAUUUAGCUGCAAGAAUGCACUUGUCCAGGCUGACGUAAGGCCUUACCUGUAGCAAAGGUGAAUUAUUUUUAAUAAUCUUCUAUGUAAACAUUUUAUUAUUACCUUCUAGUUUUAAUUUGUUUUACAGAUUAUUGUUACACGUGAUUUUAUGUUCUUUUAAACAUUUAUAAAUGUGCUGCUUCUUUGUUUUUACAUAGCCAGCCAGAAUGGAGUUCACAGCCGCAGUGUGUCUGGUGACCCACAGGGACCAUGAUGAAAAUUCAUCUUCCAGAAGGUCCCAGAGCAUCCACACCCCCUGAAAAGACCAAGAUGUAAGGUGUCUGCUGUUGAUUCCAGCUUCCACCUCAGUGACAGUGCAAGCUCAGUGAACUGUUCAAGGACACUCAGCAAAAUAUGGACUCUACACCAUGAGGCAGGCACACGUUAAUAUUCUAUAAGAGCACAUAAGCAUGAGGAUGUCCUCACACACCUGUAACCUAUCAGCUCAUCUGGCAGAAUAGAGAGAGAAGAGACAACACCACAUCUCCUGUUCCUGGAAAGCCUUCAGCCAUCCUUCGAUGACUGAGAACCUCCAUCAGCUCUGUCUCCUGUCUGCCUACAAUUAUUAUAAUAAAUAUUGUGUUUGACAAGUUUUUUGUGCUGCCAAAUAUCUCAUUUAGAUUCCAGUUUUGAUAUUUUAAUGGAUAUUUAUAAAUUACAUUGAUUAUCACAUUUUUGUUGCAUGCUUAACUAGCUCUAUUGUGAUGAAUUAAACUAGCACCUCACUAUUAAAAGCUCGUUUUAAUUUCAAGCAUGUUUAAGUAUUUAUGGACAUGAACAAAAACAGGAAAUAUAUAAAUUGAGAUUUAUUUAAUUAAUAUAACAAAUAAGGGGGAAAGAGUCAUUGAAAGGCACAUUCUUCCGGAAGCUCCUGAUCCUGACGACACCAGAGACCAGCUGCAGACACCGGAGGACCUAGAACCAAGAGAGCAGCUGUUAUCAGUAAAUAAAUAAAUCAGGGCAGUUUUAGUGAGCUGAACACAUUACAGAAUAAUUUUCUCAUGGGGUAUUUUCAUAACUUUAUAUGCAGCAGACUGUAGCUUGAGCCCAGGGCUACCGGAGAGCUGCUAUCCAACAUGUUUCAGUGGAUUUUCCUGCUUUAACAGGUUAGAUUAGCUGUUAAGCAGCUCAGCUAUUUGUUGCUGAUUAAAAUCAGGUGUGCUGAAGCAGAUAAACCUCUAAAACAUGCUGAAUACUAGCUUUUUAGGGCCGUGGAGCCAAACACUGCAGCUAAUCCAAUGCUAUGGCUAACGGCUACUUACCAUUCAGAGGUGGUUCUGUUGGGUCGGUUCUGGGAGUUUCAAGCAACUCAAAACAAUAAGGCUCAGGUCCGCUUGUCUCCUCCAAACAGACUUGGUCCCUUUCUUCUCGAGUGUCUGGGUAAGGAGGGGGAGAAACGUCCUCCACUUCUGCUCAGAGUAAAGGGAUAGCUUCAUCUAGUUAGCCUUCGUCUACGUCACUGCCGCGGCUCCGCCCUCUCGGUCCUCCAGGCAACGCCUACUAAUUUUGCAUUUUUUAAAAUUGAUACGUGGGUGGAGAAGGACUCCGAGGCUCACUUGACCCGCUCUUUAAAAUACUCAGUAAUUAGAAUUAAGUUUGACUAUCAGACCCAUCUCACUAAUCCUGUUAACUUUUGCUACAGCUUGUUGAAGCUACUUGGUAAACAUUUCACACAACCGUGAACUAAGAAUAUUGUUUGUGCAUUCAACAGAAAAUCUAAAAGAAAUUACCUGCCAAAAGCACUGGCUGUGUGUAUUUGAAUGGGUGUGUACGCAGUGCCUUCUACAUGCCAACGCUUUAGAAGCUACCUGUUUUCCCAGAACAAUUAAGUCAAGCCUCUUUACAGUAUCUCCACUCCAAUUAAUUUUAAUAUUUAAACAGCCAUGCAGAGACUUCUGAACCAGCUAAUGCGAGAUUAGAGUAAACUCAAUUAAAUAUUGAUGGCCAUAAAUAAACAUUCUAAUUUGUUAAGCUGCCGUGGUGAGCCGUAAAUUGAGAGAAAAAAUGUUUUCAGCUGGAAUGCUAUGCUUAUUAGCUGAGCAAACGCCGAACUGAGAGGGUCAGGAUGAAAGGUGAGAAGAAGGACAAAAGAAUAAUGAGGGAGGAUGAACGAAAUGGGUGAAAAACCAAAGAUCUGAAUGUUUUAGUUUAUUAAUAUGCAAUACUAUAAUUUUUUGAAUACAAUGAAAUUUAGUUAUGAAAAUGGACUGAUUUGUAACUAUAGCAACAAAUAAAUGAUGUACACAAAUGCACAACUUCAGAUAAAAAUAAACUACUUGUUCGCUCUCAGUUGUUCUGUAUUUUUAGUUUGUUUUUUUAUAGUUCUGACAUUUUAAGGGAUUAAUAAGUCUGAUAAGGUUAAUUGUUUUCAACAGUUUUGUAAACCAAUUUGUUUUCAUUCAUUUCCUUAAAAGUUUAAUGUUUUUCAACAAAAUUGGUAAUACAGUUUGGUAACGCUUCCUUUUACAGUCUCCUAAUUACUAAGUAGCUACAUGGUAAUUGCAUGGUAAGUUAAAGUGUAUUAUUGUGUGAUUAAAGUGUAUAAAUGUAGUAAAGUGUAAUUAUUGUGUAAAGCAGUAUUUACUGGGAAUGAUUAAUAAAAAAUAAAAAAUAAAUUGAACCUGUGUUACAUGGUAAUAACGGUUUAAGAACUCAGAAACAAUAAUACAC